rnacentral:rRNA from 1 species
CCUACGGGCGGCAGCAGUGGGGGAUAUUGCACAAUGGGGGGAACCCUGAUGCAGCGACGCCGCGUGGGUGAAGAAGCGCCUCGGCGCGUAAAGCCCUGUCAGCAGGGAAGAAAAUGACGGUACCUGAAGAAGAAGCACCGGCUAACUACGUGCCAGCAGCCGCGGUAAUACGUAGGGGGCAAGCGUUAUCCGGAUUUACUGGGUGGAAAGGGGGCGCAGACGGCGAUGAAAGCCAGGAGUGAACGCCCGGGGCCCAACCCCGGGACUGCUCUUGGAACUGCGUGGCUGGAGUGCAGGAGGGGCAGGCGGAAUUCCUGGUGUAGCGAUGACAUGCGUAGAUAUCAGGAGGAACACCGGUGGCGAAGGCGGCCUGCUGGACUGCAACUGACGUUGAGGCCCGAAAGCGUGGGGAGCAAACAGGAUUAGAUACCCCUGUAGUC